rnacentral:tRNA from 1 species
GCCAUGGUGGUGGAAUUGGCAGACACUCAGGAUUUAAAAUCCUGUGACCGUUUAGGUCGUGCGGGUUCAAGUCCCGCCCAUGGUA